rnacentral:piRNA from 1 species
UCCUGCCUUGCCUGUGUGACAACCC